CAGCCGUAAACUAUGCUCGCUAGGUGUCAGGCAUGGCGCGACCGUGUCUGGUGCCGCAGGGAAGCCGUGAAGCGAGCCACCUGGGAAGUACGGCCGCAAGGCUGAAACUUAAAGGAAUUGGCGGGGGGAGCACAACAACGGGUGGAGCCUGCGGUUUAAUUGGACUCAACGCCGGACAACUCACCGGGGACGACAGCAACAUGUAGGCCAGGCUGAAGACCUUGCCUGAAUCGCUGAGAGGAGGUGCAUGGCGUAGACGUCU
rnacentral:rRNA from 1 species